rnacentral:lncRNA from 1 species
GCUGUAACUUCAGAGGACGUCAGAGCUCCAGAACCGUGUGACGAAAAUAAAGUGCAUUAAUAAGGUUUAGAUGCACUUUGGCUGUUAGGAGGGGCUGCCAGCUGAGCUGCACAGAAUGACAAAGUUAGUUAUCAGGUCUGGAUUGUGUUGGUGUUCGUCGUUGACUUGGUUUUGUCUCGGUGAAUCAGCAGAGAUGUUUGAACUCCAUAAACAUCUGUAGUUUCACGUGAGGCUGAGAGCUGAGCUGAAAUAUGUGCCACCAGAAACCGAAUCUGAAUCAUUUAUAUUUAUAACAGUUUCACGAGCAACGGCACCUCCCGGCAUCUGCUGCUGCUCCUCCCGGCUCGGUGCCACAGAUUGAGCUCGCUGUCUCGUCUCUCCCAGUCUACGCAUAAACACAUGUGUACAAACGUAGGUGCUGAUUGGCCGAACGAGGAGUCCUGUGUAUCUGAGCUCGAUUGCUCCUCCUUCAUCCUUAGGUAAGGUCAUUUCACCCCGAUGACACCAUGGAUGAGGAGAUGCUGAUUCUAGAAGUCUAGAAGUAGAUUUCCUCCUCUGGAAGGACACAAUCUACUGCUUAUAUGUCUAUGUGUCUGUCUUUAGAGAGACAACUCGUUAUCGUGAGAUUGAACGUGAAUCUGCGGGUUCUUGUGAGUUCUCCUGAUUCCUGCUGUCCACGAAAUUUGUCUCACAAAUGGAUCAGGUAGGAAUUGGCGUAGAUUGUAAAUCACUGCCGUUCCGGAUGCGGUGGAGAUUUGGGGUGACAGUCAUCUUUAGUCUUACUGGGUCUUCCAAAGUCCUGUUGGUCUUCAGAUCCAGUCUAGAUUCACCUGUUAAAGCAGCAACUGAAGAAAAACUGAAAAAUAUGAAGACCAGAAUCAACAACAACAACAACAUCAGGGACUGGUGUGGGUUAAAGAGGAUCUAGAGUCCAGUUUGGACUGGAACCAAGUAGAUUUAUGCCCCACCCCCCAUCAGGCGGCCAUGUUGGAAAAAACUUCAUUCACUCGUCCUCGUUAAACUCAACCACCCUCAACUGUCCUCAAUCAGAACUCAUUAGACUGAGUGACAGAGACAGGAAGCAGACACACACACACACACACACACACACACACACACACACACACACACACACACACACACACACAGGAGGUGACAGGGAUGAGCUGCAGGUUCAGCUGCAGCUCUGAGAGUGUGUGAGGUGUUUAUGACAGAAACACACAAGUCUAAACACACACAGGCAGAGAACACAGAUGCUCCAACACACACACACAGACACAACACAACACAACACACACACACACACACACACACACACAACACACACACACACACACACGGGACUCGGGACUCCCUCAAAUGUCGUCCAGUGAGAGUUUUUUUGGAAACCACUUCCUGAUGUGGGCCGGAUGGAGAGAGAGAGAGAGAGAGAGAGAGAGAGAGAGAGAGAGAGAGAGAGAGAGAGAGAGAGAGAGAGAGAGAGAGAGAGAGAGAGAGAGAGAGAGAGAGAGAGAGAGAGAGAGAGAGAGAGAGAGAGAGAGAGAGAGAGAGAGGGAGAGAGAGAGAGGGAGAGAGAGAGAAAAGGAGGAGGGGGUUCAGCUGCAGCAGCUGGAUUUGACAUUAAAGCAGCUGCGACCCACGAUGCACUGCUCUGUGCAAGUGUAGCAAAGUAGAAAGAAAACCCUCACACACACACACACACACACACUCACACACACACACACACACACCUGUCGCCUCCAGUCUGGACCGGAUGUGUACUCCCCGUUGCCAUGGUAAAGUUGCCAUACUCCUCUUGUUUCCCCUCCUUCCUUCGCCCUGUCGUCGUUUCUGUCAGAGGAAACGAUCCAGCAGAGACGCCACGAUCAUCGACCUUCACUCAGACGGCGACCAGGUCAAACUGCUCGUAAAAGUCCGAUUCUCUCCCCAUCAUUCGGUUCUUCCUGAUAAAUGAGAACUUUAUUUUCUUUGUCCACGUGGUCUGGAGUGAAACCGGGUCAGAACCG